rnacentral:lncRNA from 15 species
GCAGAGCCAGCUGGCCAAGAUGACCUCUGACCUGUGUGAGGACGGAGGAGACAAGCAGAGAGAGAAGGAGGCUCCAGCAACCUCUAAAGCCUCCUCUGUGUCUCCUCUGUCGGCCGUGACGUCGCUGGAGCUGCCUGGACCCUGGACCAGCCCGCUCUCACCGGAGGCCGAUGGGGGCCACAGGCCUCUGCGCUCUCCCCCCGGCCUGAGCUACUCCUUCAGGAGUCAGCUGACCACCGACGACAACAUGACCGACUGGCUGCGCCUCCUGCUGGAGGCCGACGACGGCCGAGACUUCGGCUCUGAUGACCAGCAGGUUCCGGUCUUCUCUGACCAGCUCCUGUGGAACCCGUACUGA